GCCUCGGUAGCGUAGUGGUCAAGACGCUCGCCUGGUAAACAGGAGGGCGUGGGUUCGAUCCCAGCCGGGGCA
rnacentral:tRNA from 1 species